AGCCCCAUAGUACAGCGGUCAAGUAUACGAGGUUCUGAACCUCGUGACCUCGGUUCGAAUCCGAGUGGGGCUA
rnacentral:tRNA from 1 species